rnacentral:rRNA from 1 species
AGGCUUCAUUGGGGAAUAUCCUCACUAUGGGCGAAAGCCUGAUCCAGCAAUGCCGCGUGUGUGAUGAAAGCCUGCGGGCUGGAAAGCACUUUCCGUGGAGAAGAAAAGCUUAAGGCGAAUACCCUUGAGUCUUGACUUAACCUACAGAAAAAGCACCGGCUAACUCCGUGCCAGCAGCCGCGGUAAUAAGGAGGGAGCGAGCGUUAACCCGAAUUACUGGGCGUAAAGCGCGCGUAGGCGGGUCUGUUAAUCGGAUGUGAAGACCCUGGGCUUAACCCGGGAAUUGCGUUCCAUACUGCAGAGAAUCCCCUAUGGUACAGGGAAUUGGAAUUUCCGGUGUAGCGGUGAAAUGCGUAGAUAACGGAAGGAGCACCAGAGCUGAAAGGACUUCCCGGGCCAAUACUGACGCUGAGGUGCGAAAGCUUGGGGAGUAAACACGAUUAGAUACCCUGAUAUUCCACGCCGUACCAAUGAGAACUAGAUGUCGGGAGGAUCUACCCUUUCCGCGCCACAACUAAACGUGAAGUUCACUUCUGCGGAGUACGCUGGCAACAACAAAAUUCUAAUGAAUUGAGGG